UACGGGGGGGGCAAGCGUUGUUCGGAAUUACUGGGCGUAAAGGGUUCGUAGGUGGCCAACUAAGUCAGACGUGAAAUCCCUCAGCUUAACUGGGGAACUGCGUCUGAGACUGGAUGGCUUGAGUGCAGGAGAGGAACGCGGAAUUCCAGGUGUAGCGGUGAAAUGCGUAGAUAUCUGGAGGAACACCGACGGCGUAGGCAGCGCCCUGGACGACACCUGACGCUGAGGCACGAAAGCUGGGGGAGCGAACAGG
rnacentral:rRNA from 1 species